UACGGGGGGGGGCAAGCGUUGUUCGGAAUUACUGGGCGUAAAGGGCGCGUAGGCGGCCUGCUAAGUCGGACGUGAAAUCCCCCGGCUCAACCGGGGAACUGCGUCCGAUACUGGUGGGCUCGAAUCCGGGAGAGGGAUGUGGAAUUCCAGGUGUAGCGGUGAAAUGCGUAGAUAUCUGGAGGAACACCGGUGGCGAAGGCGGCAUCCUGGACCGGCAUUGACGCUGAGGCGCGAAAGCCAGGGGAGCCAAACGGG
rnacentral:rRNA from 1 species